UAAAUUAGUAAUGAAAGAAUAGUCUUGUUGGGUGGUUUUAGUCUCCUUGUUACCGAAGAGGAAGUUAGCAGAGGUUUAUAAUCUGGUUUAGUGAGAAGGGCCUAAGACCAUAAAAAGGGAGAGGAGGUUUGGAAUACAUUAUGAUAGAUGAAGAGGUUUCGGCAUGAUUUCAAUCUAUACGUGAGGGAUGACGGAUAACUGUGAUCAUCCAUGAGAGAAUAGGGAUGAUUGUGAUGUCAGCUGAGAAAGAAUUCACAGAUUCUUGCGAUCAUCUUCUUUUCGUACGUUGCAAAUUCAGAAGCGUUCUAAUUAUAUAAUAUGCAUGCAUUAGAUAUGAAUCUAAUCAUGCCAAGUUUUGGCAUGUGAUGAAUUUGCUAAUUAAAUAUUAAAUGAAUGCGUAGUGAUAAUGGAUUUGAAGUCUUAAAUAUAUAAAUUAGCAGAUGGCCCAUGUCAUUUGUCAGGAUUCUUUGUUUAUGUUUCCUUAGCUGUGAUCAUUGAUAUUUUACUCAAAGUUGAUUAGAAUAACUUGUGAUAGAGGUUGCGGUUAAGAUCACGUCAAAGCUCUUGUGUGGUGCACAAGAAGGUUUAAUCUUCUUGCAUCUUAAGCAGUAAUUACAUUAAGAACUCUGAAGUGAAAUACAUAAAGACGAGAUUAUUGCAUCUAAUCUGGAUCCACUACUGAGGUCAACAAGUAAACCAUCAAGAAACAAGCAUUGUUUUGAUCCUUGUUGCAUUCAUAUGAAUGGGUAUACCUUACUCCUGGAAGAAGUGAAAUGGGAGCGCCACCACCAUAGCAGUGCUAUGCUUCUACUGCACCAAUUUCACAGAAACCAAUUACUGUGGUCAUUUUGGCUAAUCCCCUUAAGCUCGUAUUUUUUAACCUCUGCAUUCACCUUUAAGGGAAGGGCUAAUUUGUGCCUCUGCAUCCAUUCUCUUGUAACUGAAAGUGGAGAUAAUGGAACUUUAGAAAUCAGACUUGAACAAACACAUGUUUGCAUUGACAAAGCAUCAACAGCAUUGAUUAAAGCAUUUUUUGAAGACUACUGAACUGAAAGCAACCUUCUAUUUGCCAGUAGGAAGUAGCACUUUUCCUUUCUUUUUUUCCGAUGAAAAACUACUUGGAGGCAUCAUUCUUUCAUUCAAGAAACCGAAUCAAUACAUCAAAAGGUGAAAAGAUAUAAAGCAGAUCUUGCCAAAGUUGUGGAACUAGGGUUCGUCGAAUCUCAUUAGUGGUCUAUUGGUGAUGAAGCUUGACACGCUUUCAGUCUGAACAAACACUUAAAAGUCAUCCUUUGUUUAAUUACUUUAUACCCCUUGUACCAAUCAACUUAUUGUUUUGCUACCUUUUCUUUUUCUUCUUCUUCUCUUUUUUUUUGAUGUGAAACUAUCUGCUACCCUUUCUUUUUCAAUCAAGUCAUUGAUUUAUUCCUGAAGAAAGGAAAUAAAAAGUUCUGGCAGAAAUCAUUAGUUCUCGAUUAUUUGGUCUUUUGAUCAAGUCUAGGAGAGGAAAAAAUAGUCCGGUCUCUCUCUCUCUCUCUCUCUCUCUCUC
rnacentral:lncRNA from 1 species